rnacentral:rRNA from 1 species
GACGAACGCUGGCGGCGUGCUUAACACAUGCAAGUCGAACGCUGAAGCUCAGCUUUUGUUGGGUGGAUGAGUGGCGAACGGGUGAGUAACACGUGAGUAACCUGCCCCCUUCUUUGGGAUAACGCCCGGAAACGGGUGCUAAUACUGGAUAUUCACUGGUCUUCGCAUGGGGGUUGGUGGAAAGGGUUUUUCUGGUGGGGGAUGGGCUCGCGGCCUAUCAGCUUGUUGGUGGGGUGAUGGCCUACCAAGGCUUUGACGGGUAGCCGGCCUGAGAGGGUGACCGGUCCCAUGGGGACUGGGUUACGGCCCAGACUCCUACGGGAGGCAGCGGUGGGAAUAUUGCACAAUGGGCGCAAGCCUGAUGCAGCGACGCCGCGUGAGGGAUGGAGGCCUUCGGGUUGUGAACCUCUUUCGCUCAUGGUCAAGCCGCAACAAUGGUUGUGGUGAGGGUAGUGGGUAAAGAAGCGCCGGCUAACUACGUG